AGGAACUCCUCUAGGAGCUUUCCCUCUGAGGGAUAAUUGUGGAUUCUAUGUUAAUCAGCUCACCAGCCUCCACAAACAGCCAAAAACAGCAGAUCAUUUUAGAACAGAUCUAUCUGUAAAAGAAAACUGAAACACAACACUUACACGGGAAACGAUGUUCUGACCAGAUGCAAUAUGAAAACCACGAGCUACUGUCCUCAACUGAGCAAGAGCUUUACUUCCUCUUUUUAAUAUACAUCCAUAUAAGGAAUAUUCAUCUUGCCAAACCCCCUUAUUCAUCUGAGCAACAGCCUCACAUUGGUAUGUCCCAGGGAAGUGACAGAUAUAGGAGUAUUGGAGAUCCUUCCCAGACACUCCAAGGAUCUGUCUCCUCUGCACUGCUUUCCCAGGCUUUCCUGGCUGUUUCACAACCUCCAUUUAGAACCUACUGUGUCGUCUUUGCUCCUGAGAGGCUGCAAUGUAGUGGUCAUGGAUAAAGCAGCAACCAAGCAGCUUCAGGCUUGCUGUGCACAGAUGGAGGACAUAAGCACUGACAUUGGUCUCAUAGGCAGUGUCACAGAAAAUGUCAAGAAUCAAAUCCACAUCUUCAAAGUGUUAUUCUAAUAUUUUAAAAGAAAGGCAAUUACUUUCAUAGAUAUA